GUGGGGAAUCUUGCGCAAUGGGCGAAAGCCUGACGCAGCGACGCCGCGUGGGUGAUGAAGGCCUUCGGGUUGUAAAGCUCUGUGGGGAGAGACGAAUAAGUGCCGGCUAAUACCCUGCAUGAUGACGGUAUCUCCUUAGCAAGCACCGGCUAACUCUGUGCCAGCAGCCGCGGUAAGACAGAGGGUGCAAACGUUGUUCGGAAUUACUGGGCGUAAAGCGUGUGUAGGCGGCCAUGUAAGUCGGAUGUGAAAGCCCCGGGCUUAACCCGGGAAGUGCAUUCGAUACUGCGUGGCUUGAGUAUCGGAGAGGUUGGUGGAAUUCUCGGUGUAGAGGUGAAAUUCGUAGAUAUCGAGAGGAACACCGGUGGCGAAGGCGGCCAACUGGACGAAUACUGACGCUGAGACACGAAAGCGUGGGGAGCAAACAGGAUUAGAAACCCCAGUAGUCC
rnacentral:rRNA from 1 species